AACGCACAUUGCGCCCCUUGGUAUUCCGGGGGGCAUGCCCGUUCGAGCGUCAUUUCACCACUCAAGCCUCGCUUGGUGUUGGGCCACGGGGGCGACCCGGGCCCCAAAAUCGUCGGCCGGACGGUCCGAAUCUCAGCGUCGUGGCAAACAUCCGCUGGCGAGACGGGCGAUCCGCGCCGUGAAACCUACUCACAGGUUGACCUCGGAUCGGGUAGGGAUACCCGCUGAACUUAA
rnacentral:misc_RNA from 2 species